rnacentral:rRNA from 1 species
CGCUGGCGGCAGGCCCAACACAUGCAAGUCGAGCGGUAGAGAGAAGCUUGCUUCUCUUGAGAGCGGCGGACGGGUGAGUAAUGCCUAGGAAUCUGCCUGGUAGUGGGGGAUAACGUUCGGAAACGGACGCUAAUACCGCAUACGUCCUACGGGAGAAAGCAGGGGACCUUCGGGCCUUGCGCUAUCAGAUGAGCCUAGGUCGGAUUAGCUAGUUGGUGAGGUAAUGGCUCACCAAGGCGACGAUCCGUAACUGGUCUGAGAGGAUGAUCAGUCACACUGGAACUGAGACACGGUCCAGACUCCUACGGGAGGCAGCAGUGGGGAAUAUUGGACAAUGGGCGAAAGCCUGAUCCAGCCAUGCCGCGUGUGUGAAGAAGGUCUUCGGAUUGUAAAGCACUUUAAGUUGGGAGGAAGGGUUGUAGAUUAAUACUCUGCAAUUUUGACGUUACCGACAGAAUAAGCACCGGCU